rnacentral:rRNA from 1 species
ACUCCUACGGGAGGCAGCAGUAGGGAAUCUUCGGCAAUGGACGAAAGUCUGACCUGAGCAACGCCGCGUGAGUGAAGAAGGUUUUCGGAUCGUAAAACUCUGUUGUUAGAGAAGAACAAGGACGUUAGUAACUGAACGUCCCCUGACGGUAUCUAACCAGAAAGCCACGGCUAACUACGUGCCAGCAGCCGCGGUAAUAC